rnacentral:rRNA from 1 species
ACCCAGUGUGAUUCGUCACACUAUCAUUAACUGAAUCCAUAGGUUAAUGAGGCGAACCGGGGGAACUGAAACAUCUAAGUACCCCGAGGAAAAGAAAUCAACCGAGAUUCCCCCAGUAGCGGCGAGCGAACGGGGAGGAGCCCAGAGCCUGAAUCAGCAUGUGUGUUAGUGGAAGCGUCUGGAAAGUCGCGCGAUACAGGGUGACAGCC